UUUAAGUGCAAUAAUAAAUAUUUUGUCUAAAUUUAAUCGUCCGACUUAUUUAUUUUUUUUUAAAUUAAUUUUUUUUAUGAGAUGAUAAAACAUAAAUAGUAUUUAUGUGUGACUUAUAUUUUUAAAUUUUUUUAAAGAUUAUUUAAAUAAGAUAGACGAUUAAAGUUGAGUAUGGAAAAAUAUGGCUGCACUUAAA
rnacentral:pre_miRNA from 1 species